rnacentral:rRNA from 1 species
UACGUAGGGGGCGAGCGUUGUCCAGAUUUAUUGGGCGUAAAGAGCUCGUAGGCGGCUGUUCGAGUCGGGUGUGAAAUCCUGAGGCUUAACCUUGGGUCUGCAGUCGAUACGGGCAGGCUAGAGUUCGGUAGGGGAGACUGGAAUUCCAGGUGUAGCGGUGAAAUGCGUAGAUAUCUGGAGGAAUACCGGUGGCGAAGGCGGCAUCCUGGACCGACAUUGACGCUGAUGAGCGAAAGCUAGGGGAGCAAACGGG